AGAGGGCCGGGCUCCGGCCGCUGGGCGCUGGGAGGAAGGAAGGACCCAGCGCGCAGGUGACUCGGUCGGGCCGCCGCGCGGGAGUGCGAGGUAGGGGCAGCCGGGUGCGGCACCCUCGUCGCCCAGCUCCGCCUGCCUGCCCUGGCCACUAGCCUUCGGACGGAGCAGUGGGCACGCUAGGGCGCGGCGCCUCGGCUGGAUGGAGACUGGGGCAAAGCACCCAGCACUAACAACUCAAUUAGUUCCACCUUCAGAGGCCCCGCUUGUUACCUGUGGAACUGACUUUCGUUCUCAGCACGGACCUGACAAGGAGGUGCCCUUGUCUCCAUUUUACUGAGGAAACGGAGGCUCAGAGAGAUAAACAAAUGGAAGCCCAGGGAGCUGGAAUUCUUUUCCAUCAUUUCCCACUGGAGAGUAAAGCCUCCACCCUGAGGAAUGAAGCCAAGGAACUCUGACUCCAGGAAGUAUGAAGAAAUGACCCAGAAAGAGGAAGAACAGAGCUUCCAGAGGCCCUGAGAGACCUGGCUAUCCCAUCCCAUUUCACAGAUGGGAAGACUGGCCCACCAAGCAGUUAGAAACCUUGCUGCAUCUGUGCAAGGCCAUGCAGAGAACUGGGGCAGAGCCGGAAGCAGCUCUGGGGGCCCAGAGAAACCAUCAGGUGGGGUCCCGAGCCCAGCCAUCGACUGUGUGACCUGGGGUGACUCUCCUGCCACUCGCUUCCUUGUCUGCACAGUGGGGCCUGGGCAGAAUUCCCCCAGCUCAGACUAGUGACAGGGCCAGACUCAGGGGCUCCACACUGCCAGACAGACUCCCCGGUCACAGCUGCUUCUCAGGAGGCAGCAUGGGAGAGGGAACAGCAGGACGCCCCAGGAGGAGGACAGCACAGCCCCACACGGCAAGUGUCCUCGCUGCUCCCGCCGCCCCAGCUCUCUGCUCUGACCUCCCCUCUCUGGAGGCUGAGGGCGAUGAGAACAGUCUGUGUGGCAGGCCGAGGGGAGGGCUGGGCCAGAGCGAUGCGCUCCAGCUGCGACAGGGCCUCGCAGCCGCCUCAGGGCUCCCACCCUCUGCACACAUCUCUCCGGCCCGGGGCUCUGGAGGCCCUCUGGGACUGGCUGACUGUAGAGCACCUCCUGGCCCUCCUCAACGCUUCUCUGGCUCAGCUCCUGAAAGCUGUACCCUUCCUCCUAGCCUGGCCAGCCUUCCAGAACCAGGACUUUGGCUUUAGAGACCACUGGAACCAAACUGCCGGAAGGGCAGCGACCUUUGCAUGACGUCCUGGCUUCUGACCCCAGCAUCAUCUACCUACCCAUGUCCCCAAGCCAGGUAUUCUGCUGCCCAGCCCCUCCACAGCCCUUCUGUGGCCCACUAUGCAGGCAGAUGAGCCCACGGCAGAGCUGACCUUGGUCUGGAUGCCCCCAGAGCUCACCUGAAGACCUCAGCCCACCUCCAGCUGGACUGCCCUUCUCUUCCCCCCCAUAUACCCACACCCAUGACCCAACUACCGAGUCUGCCUGCUUCUGGUCGGUCAGUGGGUCUUGGCCUCUGCUUGUUUCCAACUCCUCAGGCUCCUCCGAUUGGAACUGGAGAUAAGAAAGAACAGAGCUUAGCCCAGGCUGUUCCCUACUUUCCAUCCAUCUGUCCACCUUCUAUCUAACCAUUCAUCAUCCAUCCAACAUCAAUAGAUCCAUGUGUCCAACCUCCAUUCUGCAUCCACCCUACCCAUUCAUCCAUCCAAGAUCAGUAUCCCGUUUAUACAUCCACUGUCUAUUUAUUCAUCUAUCUAUCCAUCCUAUACCCAUGUAUCCUCUCUCAAUCCAUCCAACAUCCUUUCAUCCAUCUACCCAUCCUUCUAACACUCAUUCAUCAUCCAUCAUCCAUAGUCUACAUUUACCCACCUAGGCAAUGUCCAUCCGUCCAUAUUCCACCCAACAUUUAUCCAUCUGCUCAUCACCCCAUCCAUCAUCUAAGCAACAUCUAGCCAACACCCAUCAUCUGUUCCAUUCAUCACCCGCCUAUCCAUCUAUCCACCCAUAUGUCACCCAUCCAACAUCUAUCAUUUGUCCAACACAUAUCUAUCCAUCACCUACUCACACAUCUGUCGUCUAUCAUUCAUCCAUCAUCUACCCACUAACCCAUCCAUCCUUCGUUUCCUGCAUGCACUCAUGUAUGCAUGUAUUCACUGAUCAACAAUCCACUGAGCUCAGGCCUUGGACCAGGGGCCAGAGAUACAGGGAAAGUAGGCCCAGCUCCUGCCUGCAUGGAGCCCAUGUUUCUUACGGAGAAAUGACAAGUGAACAUGUUCAGAUGCAGGGUAGUAGAACCACCAAGCCCCAAAGGGAAGCAUUACCAACCUGGGGUUGAGGUGAGUAUUCGGGGAAGGCAUCUCAGAGCAGGGCACCUGAUCUAAGACUUAAACAAUGAAUAGGCAUCUGGUGAGUGAAGAAGGAAGGGAAGAGCAUCCUAGGCAAGGGGAACAGUAUGUGCAAAGGCAGGAAGAUGUGCUCGUAGAGCUCUGCAACAGGCUGAGUACAAUUAGAGGGUGAAUCUGGUGGAAGGAAGGCCAAAAGGCCUUGAAGCCAUGCCAAGGAUUUUCACGGGGCAUGACCAGCAGGACCUGGUGAGUGCCUUUGUUGUGUCAUCUGGGAAAUGCCCUUAAGGUGCUCCUGUCUCCCCCCCAGUCACCAUCUCCUAACCUCCCAGGGACCCCAAGCCUCACCAUGGAGUGACUCUAGUUGAAGAAUCUCUCCACCCUCCCUCUUCCCUUUUGGCCAAGCCAGCCACAUGCCAGCCGCCACGGGGACCCAGCGUCUAGCCCUCCCUGAGCUGCCUGUGGCCUGCCUGCCUCCCCAGCAAGCCUGACAGCAACGUGUCAUGGAGGGGGAGCCCAUAUUCCCAAAUCCCCCCUUGGUCCUAAGGGCAGGACCAGACUGGCUUAUCCCUGUAUCUCUGGUUCUAUGCACUGAGUUGAGUAGAGGGAAAUUAAUAAAAGCCUCAGGGAAAUCCAGGGGAAGGCUCCCUGGUCCUGCCAGGGGCUCAGAGGCUUCACAACAUGGUAGCUGAAAGCUUGGGCUUUGGAGUUGACACUUCCAUCUCAUUUCUCAUGACCAUAUAUGUGUGAUGCCCGGCAAAUGCCUGAGUCUGAGCCUGCUUAUCUAGCGGAGAUGUGAAUGGCAAAGCGUGUAAAACACUAUACCCACGGCCUGACACUGUGAAGCCUCUCCUGUCCCCUAUGGGGCAGGCGGCAUGAGAUGGCACAUCAAGGAGAUGAGCAGGGUUAGGAUGAAUGAGCAGAAGCCUCUGUGUCACCCCAGUGGCUACUGUCAGGGAAGCACUUGGUCCCACUUUACAGGGGAAGACCAGGACCAAGAGAGGCUCAUGCCCAAAAGCACGUGCUGCGUUCCUGGUGAGCUGGGACCAGGCUGCACGACUCUGACCUCCAGGACGCUCACCACUCACCACCCUCACGAUUCCCUCUCCGGCAGCACCUGCCUACCACUGACUCUGGUCCCCUGCCUCUGAGCCAAGGAGGCAGGGAAGGGAUUUGGUGAGCCCCUGCUACGUGCCAGGCACUGGGCCUACAUUGCUCAUGGGCCCUCAUUCAAGCAGCCUGUCUCGGCAGCCAACUGAACCUGAUAAGCAUUCGUGCAACCUCUUCUCUAUGCCUGAGAAGAGGCGGAGGGGCCGGAGAAGGGUAAUUGAGGCUGUUGUGGACUUGGGGAAACUUGGAAUACAGCAGUGGGAGGGGACAUGACCACACUGGCUGCAAUCCCAGCCAGGGUCAGGUAGGAGCUGCCAGAGGCAACACAGACCAGGUGUUGUGGGGCCAGGAGGAGAGAAGGCCCUGGCCAGAGCAGCCUGCUUGAGGCCUCAGGGCGAUCUGCACUGAGCAGACCUGGAGUCCACCUCUGCCCCUGCCCUUCGUAGCUGCAGGAUUUUGAGUAAGUGGCUUAACCUCUCUGUGUCUUAGUUUCUUUAUGUGUAAAUAAACAGUGCUUUUCUUAUCAGGUUGCUAUGGAAAUUAAGUGAGGAAAGUACCCAUUAAACAUACAGA